rnacentral:rRNA from 1 species
CCUACGGGAGGCAGCAGUGAGGAAUAUUGGUCAAUGGGCGCGAGCCUGAACCAGCCAAGUCGCGUGAGGGAAGACGGUCCUCUAGAGUGUACACCUCUUUUGUCGGGGAGCAACAGACGCCACGCGUGGCGUUCCGAGAGUACCCGAAGAACACGCAUCGGCUACCUCCGUGCCAGCAGCCGCGGUAAUACGGAGGAUGCGAGCGUUAUCCGGAUUUAUUGGGUUUAAAGGGUGCGCAGGCGGAAGAUCAAGUCAGCGGUAAAAUUGAGAGGCUAAACCUCUUCGCGCCGUUGAAACUGGUUUUCUUGAGUGAGUGAGAAGUAUGCGGAAUGCGUGGUGUAGCGGUGAAAUGCAUAGAUA